rnacentral:rRNA from 1 species
AUGUCAGCCCUCCAAAUUAUCGAUCUUUCAUCUAACAGACUUUCUGGAAGCAUACCUUCAACACUUGCAAACGCAUCGCACCUCCGCCGGAUUGAUCUUGGAAACAACUCCCUAGUUGGAACAGUCCCAUCUCUAGGAUCCUUAUCUGACUUACACCUACUAAUUCUUCGAAAUAACUUACUAGAGGCUAAAAGUUGGGAAUUCCUUAUCUCUCUCGCAAAUUGUGCGCGGCUACAAAUGUUGGAAAUGAGUGGGAAUAAGCUGAGUGGAAGUGUCCCUAGAUCUGUAGGGAAUAUUUCCACAAGUUUACAACGUAUAAAUCUUGGAAACAAUCAAAUUGUCGGCAGAAUUCCAGUUGAGAUUUUUAACCUUCGAAACCUCCAAAUGCUUGCUAUGGGCCAAAACAUGCUUUCCGGCGUUAUUCCCUCUGUUAUUGGGAACCUAGGCCAGCUGGUUGUCCUAAUCCUAUCAGAGAACAAAUUAUCUGGCCAGAUCCCAUCUACAAUAGGUAAUCUUUCUCGGCUAAACAAGCUUUAUCUAGACAGAAACUACUUGAGUGGGAACAUCCCAAGAACUUUAGGAAAUUACAAGCAACUGGACAUGCUAAAUUUAUCUUUUAACAAUCUUGAAGGACCAAUUCCAAGUGAGCUUACCAAUAGCACUACCCUCGUCACUUUGGAUUUAUCAAACAACUUCCUUACAGGAUCAAUUCCGCUACAAAUCGGUGCAUUGCUUCAACUUCUCCAACUCGAUAUUUCCUUCAACAGAUUGUCUGGCCAAGUUCCACUUUCACUUGGCCAAUGUGUUGAACUAUCUUCUCUCAGAUUGAAAAGUAACAUGCUUAAUGGAAGCAUACCUCAGUCUUUCAGUAACCUGAAGAACGUCGAUCAGAUCUAUCUUUCCCAAAAGUCCCUUGUUGGACAAAUUCCGGAGUUCUUUGCAAACAUGAGUUAUUUGCAGCAACUUGAUCUGUCUAUGAACUACUUUGAAGGGCCGAUUCCAACUGGUGGCAUCUUUCAGAAUCAUAGUGCGGUGGCAUUGGAUGGCAAUGAAGAGCUUUGUGCAAGUGUAACCACCACCUUAUUCCAGUUUCCACUUUGCCCCAUGGCGUCAGCUGUUGAGAGGAAGAAUGCACUCCUAUUGGUGAAAAUAAUUCCUCCCAUUGCUAUUGCCUUGCUCUACUUUAUAUGCUUUGUCUUCACUCUUCUGAAGAGAAGGCAAGCACAAGCAGCUCCAUGCUACAAGGAGACAAUGAAGAAGGUUUCAUAUAGUGACAUUAUUAAAGCUACCAGCUGGCUCUCUCCAGUUAACAAGAUCAGCUCAAGUCGCACAGGUUCGAUCUACAUUGGAAGGUUUGAGUUUGACACGGACCUGGUCGCCAUCAAGUUAUUCCAUCUUGAGGAGAAUGGUGCACGUGAUAGCUUUGUUACCGAGUGUGAGGUGCUGCGAAACACCCGCCAUCGCAAUCUUGUCAAAGCUGUCACCGUAUGCUCGACAGUAGACCUAGAGAACAAUGAAUUCAAAGCUAUAGUUUUUGACUUCAUGGCCAAUGGAAGCCUGGAUAUGUGGGUCCAUCCGAAGCUACACAACAAUAGCCCCAAGAGAGUACUGAGCUUGGGCCAAAGGAUAAGAAUAGCGAUGGACGUCGCGCUGGCUCUGGAUUAUAUGCACAACCAGUUAACGCCUCCUCUAAUCCACUGUGAUUUGAAGCCCGGAAAUGUUCUUCUGGACUAUGAUAUGACCGCAAGGAUUGGUGAUUUUGGGUCAGCGAGGUUUCUCUCUUCAAUCCCUGGUAGUCCAGAAGACUUGGUUGGUGUGGAAGGAACAAUUGGAUACAUCGCACCUGAGUAUUGUAUGGGAUACAAAGUCUCGCCAGGAUGUGAUGUAUAUGCUUUUGGAAUCCUCAUUCUAGAAAUGCUCACCGGAAGGCGACCGACGGAUGCAAUAUUCACAGAUGGCCUGAGCCUGCACAAGCUUGUGAGCUCAGCAUUUCCAGGUAGACUUGGAGAGGUUUUAGAUCCCCAUUUGUCUCACGGUCACACACAUCCGUGUGACAGAGUGUUUAUGCGGAGAUAUAUGGUACCCUUGGUUGAAGUUGGCCUCCUGUGUUCUAUGGAAUUGCCUGAAGAUCGUCCGGGAAUGGGAGAAGUCUGUGCCAGAAUUUUGUCUCUGAAAGAGGCAUUCUUUGAGUUCUGCUGA